GGGCGAAUAGCUCAGUGGGAGAGCACCUGCCUUACAAGCAGGGGGUCCCUGGUUCGAGCCCAGGUUCGCCCACCA
rnacentral:tRNA from 1 species